GAAAUAACCGCCUGCUUCCUGUCAGUCUCAUUAAUACUCCCUUCAGUGAACUUCUGGCUGGUGCCCAGCUAGGGUGCUUUUCUUCAAACAGAGCCUGGCAAUAAUGAUAGACAUAACUGAUUGGACUAGGCUUAGAUUUUUCACCAGCUGGUUUCACAGCAAAGUCACACAGCAAGCCUGGAGGCCAGGUGCUGAUAACAGAUUCCUGUCUCUUUGAAAAGUAAAAAACUGGAAGAUCAAGAAUCCGAGGCACAGAGAGUGAUACUUGACUGGUCAUGAUGCUAUAAAUGAUUUUAUUUAUUUGAGAAAGAGAGAGAGCAAGCAUGAGUGGAAAUGAAAAGGCAGAGAGAGAGAGAGAAGCAGAUUCCCAGGAAAAAACCCAUUGCAAGUCUUCAUCCCAGGACCCCCGAGGAUCAUGAGUUGAGUCAAAGGCAGAUGCUUAACCCACUGAGCCACCCAGCUGCCCCAAAAUGACACUUAUGAGCCAUAAAAUUCCAAAGACUUACUUCAGAUGUGCCUGAAUAAGGAGGCACUUACCGCUGCAUGCCAACAGAAGCUUCUUUGCUUCCUGCUUAUGUGUAUGAAGUUGUGAGUUUGGGUCCAGGGCUUCUCAAAAUUAAAUAUGCAUAAAAAUCAAAUGGAAAUCAAUGGAAAACAAAUGUACUUUUAAUUUGGCUUACAAACGUCUAAAUAAAAGGUAUUUUGGGUUUUCCUGAAA